rnacentral:lncRNA from 1 species
UCACCGCUACCUGCCAUUCAAGUCUCUGUCUCUGAAACAUCAUCUAGAACUCCACUGCUAUGUUUAUCUUUCCUUCAGAUCAGUCCUCUGCUCAUAAACUUCCAUGGCUCACUAUAACCUCCAGCACUGAGUUUAAAUCAUUCUUUCUGAUUUAAAAUCGCCCCUUAAUUUUUGAUCUCCCCCCUUACCCAUUUUGGUCUGUUUAGUCUAAUUUUCUGUUAUUUCUAAUACCAGUCCUAUAAACCAAUUAAACUAGCCCCACCAGGUCUACAUAUUAAAGUUUUGUCAAUUAUAUUCCAUCCCAGUUUUCUGUUCCACCCACUUACCAUCCCGGCCAUUAAAACUCAGGCUUAGACAUCCUUCAGGUUCUAGCUUCUUUAGAAAACUUUACAUUCAAAUCUUGUACAUUCAAAUUCCCAUUUUUUUUUAGUUGUUAUGUUACAAAUAACAAUAAUAAUAGUAACUAAUAAUAAUAAUAGAAUACUAACCUAAUCCUUCAUGGUUUGUACUAUAUGACUUGAUAUUUAAUUAUAUUGUAAAUUCUUUUAUUGAAAGAGAUAAAAGAAACAACUUUCUCUUGCCUUUCCACAUCAUACAGGCUAGUAAGUUAGGCAAACACUGCCUGUUACUUCAUUGGGUAUUUUAUAGAUUGAAAUUUCUGAAUCUGCUCAUAAAUAUGCUUUUUUUUUCCUGUUCUUUUCAGUAUGGGCACAGAGCUAAACUACACUUUCCAAGCUCCUUGUAUUUGGGUGGGGCUCUGUGACUAAAUUCUGGCCAGGGAAUUUAUGAGCCACUUCUAGAUAUGGCUCAUUAAAAUCUCCCAUGCAUCCACAAGGAACUCUUCAUUCCCUGUCUUUAUGCAGCAAUUUUGGAGGUCACUUAAAGGUGAUGGCAUUAAGAACUGGAUCCCUAAGUCACCACUUAAAGGAGGCCCACCCUGCAGUGUCACCUAAGCUUCUGCCAACCCAAUUAUCUGCAUUGCACUUCUGUAAGCAAGAAACAUUUUUAUUUUGUUAAGCUCCUGAGAUUUUGAUGAUGUUUGUUACAGCUGUUAGCAUCACUUAUUUUGUUCAGAGAUGUGACACAAAAAUUCAAUAAGGCUCCAUCUGCACUUGAGCAGCCCAAAAUCUAGGUUUGAAGUUUCAAAAAAUAUAUUUAUAUUUUAAGGUUGUAUUUAUAAAUUCUAAUUUACCAUUCUAGUUACAUGUGUAAUUCAUAAAAUUGAAAAUGGCAUAAUCAAUAAUUUCUUUAUAUCUGUCUAUGUCAAAAUGUCUAUGUCCUAAAUAUCAAAACUAUGCAUGUUUUCCCACUAAUAUGAUACAGGCAGUAAUUAAGUCUUAUUAAGAUUUUUCAAUGGAAAUGCUUGUUUUUAUUUGGUAAAUAUAACUCGAUCUCACCCUAAGAAAACUGAAUAGUCUUUCCAUUGCUACUAAUAUUUAUACAAAUGUCUAUGCCUGCCUUCAUAAUAUGUUGUGAAUGCCUGACACUGCAGAGAACACAUUUUAAUGAUUUUCCUAUCUGUUAACUGUCGGUUUAUGUUAAGCGAAAAGCAGAAAGUGAUUUGACAUUUAAAAAUAUUAAGUAUUGUUAGUAUGAAGCAAUAUUCUAAAGUCAAACUUUUGAGAUUUAGAUUUAGUGUAUCUUAUAUAUGCUUUCAUUUUUUGAAAGGUGAAAAUCCAUUUGAAAUUGGCCCUUUUAUUCCUGUCAGCUUAGUGGUAAAGAAAGCAGGGUCUGUGAAUUAAAUUUGUCCUUGACACUAGGAAGAAAGUGAAGUAGUGGUAUUUGAAAUGCAGCACAUACCUGCUCUGUGCUAGCACACAGCUGUCAUGAGUCUUUUUCUGGAAAAAAAAAGACCAAGAUUAUGAUCAUAACCUUGAAUUAUCAUUACCUAUGGUGUUGCUGGCUUAUCUACCUGUAAGAAUAGUUAUGAAUUUUAGGCGGAAAUAAUUCUUAUGUUUAUCUAGAGUCAGGAGAAAGCAUAAUUUUACCUUCUUCUAUCAAAGGAGGCUAGCAUAUUCUUUUUUUUUAACAUAAUCGUUAAGUAUGAGAUGCAUUAAGACUUUGUAUCAUGAUGAUAUUUCUAUUUCACAGGUUUUGCUAUAACUAAUUUAAUAAUCUAUGAAUUUAUUUUAUUUUUUAUAAAUUGUAGGCUAUAUGAUCAGUGUAAAAGAAUUUUGAAUAAUGACUCAUGUUUUAAAUGCUAUUAUUUUCUUUGUAUUUGAUUUUCUUUCCUUAGUUCACUUACCUGUCCAUUCUGAAAUGCCUAUAAACCUUUUAAAGUCUUGUGCCUCAUUUUUGUGUUAUAAGAAAUUUCAGUGUUCUACAAGUUCUGUAGUUGUAAAACUACUCAACUUGUGUGUUUGUGUAUACAUGCAAAUGUCUUUUCAUUGCUAUGAUUUUAUUUUUCCUGUAUGUCCUUUCAUUUCACAAAUGUUUUUUAUAUUUUCUAUUAUAGUUGAUUUACAAUGUCAUGCUAAUGUUGGCAGUAUAGCAAAGGGACCCAGUCAUACAUAUAUACAUACAUUCCUUUUCUUAUAUUACUUUCCAUCAUGGUCUGUCCCAAGAGACUGGAUAUAUAGCUCCCUGUGGUACACAGUAGGACCUCAUUUCACAGAUAUUUAAUGAGUGUCCUUUAUUUGCCUAUCAAUGUACUGGGUGAUUGGUUAUCCAAAGGUGAGCAAUCAUUGCUCACCUGAUUUGAUAGAGCUUACCUUCUAGAGAGGGAAACAGUCAUGAAAAAAUAAUUAUGUAAAUACAUGCAAAUGUGUAUAAUGUUCUAAUUGCAUCUCUAGGAAGCAUUUGAUUUGAUUUAACCAGGGAGUUCAGAGAAGAGCUUUCCUAAGUAUAAAUGUGAGCUAAGAUAUCAGAAGAAAGAGGAAGCAGUAUCAGAAACCUAGAACAAUUAACUGCAAAGGCCCUGUGGCAGGACCCAACAAGGUGCUCUGGAGCUAUUAAAAGAAGGCCACUCUGACUGGAAUAUAAAGAACAGAAAUGGGAAUCCAAAUGUGACUUGACACUAGAAAGGUCAGCUGGGGCCAGACCAGGUACGAGACAACAUUGAGAAACUCAGUCUUUAUCUUAAGAGCAAUAGUGAGCCAUCGCAGAGUUUUAAAAGGCAUGAUCAGGAUUCCACUGGAAAUAAAAUAUUUCUGAGGCCUAGAGAAGGGAGCAGAUAGAAAAGUGCCAUCUCCCUUCUCCAAAUCACUACUUGUCUUUUGGAAUUGGCUGCAAUCACCUCAGAGAUACAAAUAAAAAUCUUUAAUGGCCUCUGUCCUCUGUUCUCUUCCAAGCAUCUCAUAAAUGAAAACCUAACUGGUUAUCAGGCACCCAGCUGGUAUCUGAGUAAUAGGGAGCUGUCUGAAGUCCAUAAGGAGCAGUACAUCCCAAUGAACUGAAGAAUGCUGAGUUUCCCCGAGGGAGGUGUGGAUCAUUGACUAGAAGUUAAUGAAUGCUAAGAUGCCCUCAUGCUUAGGAGCAGCUGCAUUAGCAAGACCUCUUUCCUGAGCUUUCUUUGGAUGUUUCAGACUCUGCUGAGCUGAUGGAAAUGAAGUCCAUAAUUUCAGCUAUGGUCGUUAACCUCCUGCUUUGUGUUUUUACUAAACAUUAACAUGUCAUUUGUGUUAAAGAUAGGCUUUGGGCUCAGGGAGUGAGGAGGACUUCAGUGCAGUGGGGACCAAGUAUUGAAAGCAGAAAGUGCAUGACAGAUUGCAAUGACAAAGCUAUUCAGGUCUUCUGGUACAAAGGAAAAUAGAAAAUAAAAUCUCUUUCUAAAUAAUGCAGAUGGUGCUAGGAUCUGAAGCUUCUUGUAUCAUGGAGAAGAAAAACAAGAACAUGUGCUGUUCACCAGGAGGAAACUUCGUUGUGAUAACUGAGAAUUGUCAUUGUAUCCUGCAGCCAUUGAUAAUUUAGCCCCACUAAGAAGGAAGAACAUGAAAAAUGUUUAUAUCUCUAGAUCUAUUUUCUACUUGUGUACAAAAUGCAGGUAUUAGGAUAAACACAUCACCAGUUGAAUUCAUCAAGCUUUUGGUGAUCAGACAUUGUAUUAAUCAAUCUUCUGCUCAAAUGAUUUUCUUAACUGUAUCUCCCUCAUUGUUCUUUAAUUACUGUCACCAAAUGGCUAGAAUCAAACCUGCUUCAUAUUCUACUGUUUGCCUAGUUUUUUCCCUUUACUUUCUCCUACCCUUUCUUCCUAUUCUGAGCUUUUCAUCCUUAAAGUCCCUGAUUAAUAAGUCUACCACAUCCCCAGACUCCCCAGAUGGUGGCUGGCCAAGAGAAUAACCUGUCCCGUGAACUCGUAACCUGUAUUUUAGUAAUUAUUAGUGUACUUGUUGCAACACUUUUAUUAGUAGUAUUUAACUCCUAUGUAUUAUUUAGUAGUAAAUCUCAACUCCUCAACUCAAUGUAAUCUCCUUGGUGUCAUAAAGCUAAUGGACUAUUAUAUUCAAUGUGGCUUAAUAAACAAAAUGUAGGCUCUCUGAUUCACAUAGGCAUCAAAUAACCUUUGUUCUCAUUGGUUUCAGGAGUGAGAAAGAGUCUUGGAUUGUUAUUUUUGCCUUCUUUUUUUCUUGAGUUUGUCUAUUUGGGCACUAAAUUUAAUUAUCUCAAAUUAAGAUAGGUAGUGGUAUAAAUCCACCUUGAGGGUAUUCUGACCUUUGUGCAAUUUAAGUAUGUUCCUAGUUAUAUAUACCUUCAUGUGUUUUUAAAAGUUUAUGAGAUUUGUUUUAUUUUAUUAUAGUAAUUACAUAGGAAGAAUGUAGAAAAAUAACCUUUGGUUGAUAAAGAAACUCACAUAUUUAUCCUGUUAAUUGGACUUUACUGACUUUUGAAAAUAAUAUGGGUAUUGGGUAUCAUAUAAACUGUCUGAAAUGAAUAGGCUUAAGUGCCUAUCUACAGGAGGAU